UAAAUAGUUAACUUUAUUAUAUCCCUCCCUAACCCUAACAUCUCAUUCUCAUCUCAGUUCUCACAGAGUUGUCUCCUUCCUUCCCACUUCCAACAAAAAAUUCCCAAUCUUCAAUCUUCCUUUCCUAGAAACCUUCUUCAUUUAAGAAGCAACGACAACAAGGUAAAUUCCAUCUUCUUUGAUUCUUUGUUUCGUGGGUUUGAAAGCAUAUUCUGAGUCUAUUCCAUCUUCAUCUUUCCUAGAAACCAUCUCCAUCUUUCAGGCGUCUUCAUUUUAGCAACGACAGCAAGGCCCCAUACCUUCACCACCUCCCAUCAGUAAAACUGCAGGCAAAUCAAGGUCCAUUUCAAGCUCUUCUCUUAACUCAUCCUACAUAACAAGAAACAAAAGAAGCAGUCAGUUGAGCAAAUCAUCGUAGUAGAGCAUGUGUGAAUGCAAAUGUGUGAUCACAAUUGUGCACCUUCGAAAGAACUGCAAGAGCAAAAGACGGUCGGAUGGGCAAGCCAAAAACACGGAUUUGAGAAUCUUCCAGCCCAUCUAGUGCAGCCCUCUUAGCUACCUCCUUUGAUGGGCAGUAGCAUCUAUUCCAAAAAAACCGGUUCAAACCGAACCGGAAAAAACAAAAAGAAA